UACGUAGGGUGCAAGCGUUAAUCGGAAUUACUGGGCGUAAAGUGUGCGCAGGCGGCAAAGCAAGUCGAGUGUGAAAGCCCCGGGCUUAACUUGGGAAUUGCGCUCGAAACUACUUUGCUGGAGUGUGGCAGAGGAAAGGUGGAAUUCCACGUGUAGCGGUGAAAUGGACGUAGAGAUGUGGAGGAACACCAAUGGCGAAGGCAGCCGUUCUGGGCCAACACUGGACGCUCAUGCACGAAAGCGUGGGGAGCAAACAGG
rnacentral:rRNA from 1 species